GACGAACGCUGGCGGCGUGCUUAACACAUGCAAGUCGAACGGAAAGGCCUUUUCGGCGGUACUCGAGUGGCGAACGGGUGAGUAACACGUGGGUGAUCUGCCCUGCACUCUGGUAUAAGCCUGGGAAACUGGGUCUACUACCGGAUAGGACCGCACUUUAGUGUGUGUGGUGGAAAGUUUUUUCGGUGUAGGAUGAGCCCGCGGCCUAUCAGCUUGUUGGUGGGGGUAUGGCCUACCAAGGCGGCGACAGGUAGCCGGACUGAGAGGUUGGGCGGCCACAUUGGGACUGAGGUGCGGCCCAGACUCCUACGGGAGGCAGCAGUGGGGAAUAUUGCACAAUGGGUGCAAGCCUGAUGCAGCGACGCCGCGUGGUGGAUGACGGCCUUCUGGUUGUAAACUCCUUUCGCCAGGGACGAAGCGUUUUGUGACGGUACCUGGAGAAGAAGCACCGGCUAACUACGUG
rnacentral:rRNA from 1 species